GAACCUGCGGAAGGAUCAUUGUCGAAACCUGCCACAGCAGAACGACCAGAGAACACGUUUGUUAUUCACUAUCGUCGUCCGGAGACUCGUCUCGGGCGAUCAACCAACCCCCGGCGCGGAACGCGCCAAGGAAUACCGCAUCGAGAUGGCCGGCCGCCCUUGCACCGUUAUCGCGGAUCGCUCGGGCGGCGUCGGCGUCUUACUUAACAAAAUACGACUCUCGGCAACGGAUAUCUCGGCUCUCGCAUCGAUGAAGAACGUAGCGAAAUGCGAUACUUGGUGUGAAUUGCAGAAUCCCGUGAACCAUCGAGUCUUUGAACGCAAGUUGCGCCCGAAGCCGUUAGGCCGAGGGCACGUCUGCCUGGGCGUCACGCAUCGCGUCGCCCCCCUGCUCGGCCCCUCGGCCGAGCUUGGGGAGCGGAUGGUGGCCUCCCGUGCCCCCUAACUCGGGGCGCGGCUGGCUCAAAUGCGAGUCCCUGGCGGCGGACGUCACGGCGAGUGGUGGUCGUACCCAGCGUGCAUAUCUCCGCGCCGUGCCCCCGUCGUCCGCGGGCGAAAGACCCUUUGACGAGCCGCGUCAGUGCGGCUCUCCGACCGCGACCCCAGGUCAGGCGGGAU
rnacentral:sRNA from 1 species